GAUGAACGCUGGCGGCGUGCCUAAUACAUGCCAGUCGAGCGAACAGAUGAGGAGCUUGCUCCUCUGACGUUAGCGGCGGACGGGUGAGUAACACGUGGAUAACCUACCUAUAAGACUGGGAUAACUUCGGGAAACCGGAGCUAAUACCGGAUAAUAUAUUGAACCGCAUGGUUCAAUAGUGAAAGACGGUUUUGCUGUCACUUAUAGAUGGAUCCGCGCCGCAUUAGCUAGUUGGUAAGGUGACGGCUUACCAAGGCAACGAUGCGUAGCCGACCUGAGAGGGUGAUCGGCCACACUGGAACUGAGACACGGUCCAGACUCCUACGGGAGGCAGCAGUAGGGAAUCUUCCGCAAUGGGCGAAAGCCUGACGGAGCAACGCCGCGUGAGUGAUGAAGGUCUUCGGAUCGUAAAACUCUGUUAUUAGGGAAGAACAAAUGUGUAAGUAACUAUGCACGUCUUGACGGUACCUAAUCAGAAAGCCACGGCUAACUACGUG
rnacentral:rRNA from 1 species